GUGCCAGCAGCCGCGGUAACACGGGGGGAGCAAGCGUUGUUCGGAAUCACUGGGCGUAAAGGGCGUGUAGGCGGUUCGGCAAGUGAGAUGUGAAAUCCCUCGGCUCACCCGAGGACCUGCAUCUCAAACUGCCGGACUAGAGUAUGGGAGAGGAUGAGGGAAUUCCUGGUGUAGCGGUGAAAUGCGUAGAUAUCAGGAGGAACACCGGUGGCGAAAGCGCUCAUCUGGCCCAAUACUGACGCUGAGGCGCGAAAGCUAGGGGAGCAAACGGGAUUAGAAACCCCAGUAGUCC
rnacentral:rRNA from 1 species